CUGCCGCCACGCUGCUCUUCCACACUCCACCGAUCACAACUCAGAGCCACCACUCUUUCUUCCUCGCCCCAAUUCGCUCUUUUCCUUCGAUAUAUCUGACCUAUCCAUCCAUCAGUCUCACCUCCGAUCUGUCGAUAUCAGCCUACGCAUCCACGGAUAAGCACUCAAUUUUGAAGGUUCUGACGGAGAGCAUAGCCGGCGAUGCUCUGCUCCGGUCGCAUGCUAGCCUGCAGCGGCCUAAGCCCCGCUAGGCUCCGGCCACCGCGCGCCUACGCUGACCGGCUGCGCCCGCCGGCCCCCUCCCGCAGGUGGCGGGUCGCCGCAUCCGCCGCGGCGUCCGGCGGCUCCCCCGACCUGCCGUCGUCGUCGACGCCCCCGUCGUUCGGCGCCGGGGACGACCAUGCCGCCGCCGCCUCCUCAGGGUUUUGCAUCAUUGAAGGGCCUGAGACGGUCCAAGAUUUUGCCAAACUGGACUUGCAGGAGAUUCUAGAUAACAUUAGGAGCCGCCGGAACAAGAUAUUCCUGCAUAUGGAGGAGAUUCGCAGAUUGAGAAUACAACAACGAAUAAAAAAUGCUGAACUUGGAAUCUCAGUUGAAGAGCAUGAAGGAGAACUCCCAGAUUUUCCAUCAUUCAUCCCAUUUUUGCCUCCCCUGAGUGCAGCUAAUCUGAAGGUCUACUAUGCUACAUGUUUCACUCUCAUUGCUACAAUAAUGGUCUUUGGUGGAUUUCUUGCACCAAUUCUGGAACUUAAACUUGGUAUAGGAGGCACAUCUUAUGCGGACUUCAUCCGCAAUGUUCAUUUGCCUAUGCAAUUGAGUCAGGUAGAUCCUAUUGUGGCAUCCUUCUCAGGUGGAGCAGUCGGAGUUAUCUCUGCUUUAAUGGUUGUUGAGAUAAACAAUGUCAAGCAGCAGGAGGAUAAACGAUGCAAAUAUUGUUUAGGAACUGGUACCCUCCCACUCCUCCUCGAUAUAAACAGGAUACCUGGCUUGCGCUCGCUGUUCAAGCACAGGAGCUGUUGUGCUCACGGAGCCUGUUUCGACAUUCAGUGAUGGUGAUCAACCUUUAUCAGCACCGAAGACCGAGAGAUGCCCAAACUGCUCUGGUGCAGGAAAGGUGAUGUGCCCAACAUGCCUCUGUACUGGGAUGGCAAUGGCAAGUGAGCAUGAUCCCCGAAUUGAUCCCUUCGAUUAAAUACAUAUCUUAGUUCAGGAAUUCUUGUAUCACUAUGUAAGGUGUUUGUAGGUACUAGAUAAUAGUGUGGGAGUACAAAUAGCGCACAACUUCGGAUCCUAGUGAAUUUUAGUAGCCUGCUACAGGAAUUUGCAACACUAUAUCAUAUCCAUCCGGUCCUGUACUGAUCGAAUUGCUUGAACUGAACAAUGCAGAGGUGCAUGUUUGACAAAGCAAAUAAACCGUGUCUGUAUCAUAGUACGAACCUGUAGAUUUUCAAACAUAACCAUGUGUGGGCUGUAUGAUAAUUUUUUUGCUUGUGAAUUU